AGAGGUGUCCGCGGGAGCCCAGAGGGGCUGAGAGGGCCACGUGCCGACCGCUGAACCUGAUACGGGUCAUACCGUCGUAGGAAAGGGCACGCAAUGCGCAU
rnacentral:ncRNA from 2 species